UUCCUGGUGGCUCAGAUGGUAAAGCGUCUGCCUGCAAUGUGGAAAGUCUGGGUUCAAUGCCUGAUCAGGAAG
rnacentral:tRNA from 1 species